ACCUGUUAAUUUAAAAUCCCAAAAGAACCAAAAAAAAAAAAAAAAAAAAAAAAUUAGAAGCCGAGGGCAUAUACAAAUCGAACGUACAAUUAAAACAACCUAAAAAUCAGUUGCUUGUUAAGGUUACAAAUACUGCAAGCAGUGGUGUACUGCAUUAUAUAGCAAGUAUUAGAUUACAAAUCAUGCAUCAUUAUUUUUAACUUACUUUUGUGUUGUUUGUUAGGAUUACGUGCUAUGGUUUUUUUUUUCUUUCUCUUUAUAAAUAUGUCAAAAAAUAUAGUUAAGGAUGUACAAGAUCCAGGUGCGGAAGGUAAUGAAAAAAAAAAAAAAGCAAGGCAAUGUGGGAUGAUGCAGGUGUUGAGACAUUUAUAAGCAUUUGUGUAGCUAACACAUUAGCCGGAAAUCAAACAGGUGGUCAUCUUAAUAGGAUUGGAUGGAAAAAUGUUAUUAAGAAAUUUAAUGACCUUACUCAAAGGUCAUAUGUUCAUAAACAACUCAAGAACAAAUGGACAACACUUCAGAAAGAAUGGCAAUUGUGGACAUCUUUAGUUGAUAAAGAGACUGGCUUAGGAUGGAUCCUAUGAAGCAAACUAUCUUUGCAAGUGAUGAGUGGCGGGAGAAAAAAGUGAAGGAGAAUCCUGAAGUUGCAAAAUAUUGAAAUAGUGGACUGAAAAUGUUGACCAAUUGGACAUUUUGUUUGAACGAGAAGCUGUUACAGGUGUAGGUGCGUGGGCAACCUCACAAGAGUUGAUGAGUAAUAAUGUCUAGGAAGAUCCAAUAGGUGAACAAAAAAACAGUCAAGAUGAUUUGGAGAAUGAAAUAGAUAAUAAUGAUGGACUUGAUGACAUAGCUGAUGCUGAGACACCUUCCCUUGCUAAACCUUCAACAUAAGGAAAGGGAACAAAAAGAACAAGAUAUUCUAAAAGAGUUGGAAUUGAGGCCAAGAUGACAGAACAAUUAGAUGGUAUUUUAGAAGCUAUAAACAACUGUUCUAAAAGCAAAGAUAAGCCUGGUUGUAGCAUUGAGGAAGUGAUGGAAGUUUUGGAAGGAAUGCCUGAAGUUGUGAAUGAUGAUGAGCUCUUUAUGAAAGCUGCUGAUAUCCUCACUGAAACAAAAAAAUAGAGAAAUGUUUGUUGCAUUGAA